GGCAUUUCUUACCUUGAGAGGUUAUUGAGAGAGUUCAGUAAGAGAUGGCGUGUGAAAUCAUUGCUGAUUAUUUGUGUUAAUUCUUCGAAGGCAAGCGCUGCUCCAUACCCUGAGCAUAGGGAAAGGGCCAACUUAGCUCCUGAUCCCGCAGAGGUUCCAGUCUGAGUCGCUGGAAUGGGAAGAGAACAGCGGACCCCAGGAGGUUGGGGUUGACCCUGAGCGGAGAGGAAGGACGAAAGGUAAUCUGUAGUCCUAAUGAACGCGAAAUGGGACCUGGCACAAUUCGAAGAGGUCGCAUCGACGAUUGAAAACGAGCGAGCGGUUUUGCCCACUGGUUGCUAUCUAAAGAAUUCUUCCAGUUCGGCAGCCCCGCAUGGGGGCAAGGGGUGACACACAGAGAGAGAAGGGUCCACGGAUUCCCAAGGUGCCCCGGAUCCAGGGUGCUGAGAUGCAAAGAGGAGAGGUUGAGUGGGGUGGAAUGGAAGGAGGGAAAGAGCUGGAGCUAAGGUGAGGGCAGGGUGGGGCCAGGGGAGAAUGAAAACCCAGCCUGUUGGUGGUUUCUUCUUUUUUUUUUUUAAGAGCCACAAGCUGAGAUCAAAGGUGAUAUUUUUACAGCAACUGAAAUAGAAAACCACUGGGCACACAGUGGGAGGUGAGCAGCCGGCACACAGGCCCCUCUCUGCAGCCUGUGGCCACAGCAAGCACGCCGCCCUCUGCCAUGGGGUGUGGGGGACAGUGUGGUGGGGAUCUUCCCAAUUCAGGUUCAAAGAAGAUGUGAAGGGGAUGAGCCACAACCCUUGGUGCUGAGAGAGGAGAGAGAGAGCCAUGAAGGAUCACUAGUCCAACAUCCUUUCUGUUCUGUGCACCCACUCACCUGCUCACUCACCGAAUCAUGUGUGGAACUAGCUGGCCCCCGCAUACCAGGAGCCAUACUCAGGCCCACCAGAGCAGUGGUUCUCUGAGUGUGGGCCCCACACCAGCAGCGUCAGCAUGACCUGGAACAUGCUAGAAAUGCACAUUCUCAGGCCCCAACCCAGACGUACUGCUCCAGAAACUCUGGGGUGGGCCCAGCCCUCAGGGUUUUAACAAACUCUCCAGAUGACUCUGCACACUCAGUUGGAGAAUCACUGUGCUGCAUGACUUCAGUUUCCACAUUGCUGCUUUGGGGAAAAUAACACGUGUCUCACAAGGUUGAGCCCAGUAUUAGCUAACACAUGUGCUAGAUGCGCCACCUGUGCCAGAUAUCCUUCUAAUCCCUUUAUAACACACCUAACUCCUCACCGACUCUGAGAUAGGAACUAAUAUUAUCUUCAUUUAUUUCCUGAGAUGAGGAAAUGCAGGCACAGAGAGGCACAGUAACUUGGCCAGGGUCACACAGCUAGUAGGCAACAGAGCUUUGGAAUCUACGGUUUUUAAAGCUCCCCAACAAAAAGCCUCCAGCAGUGAGUCUGGCUCCCAGAAUGUGUUCUGGGCAUGGUUGAGAAUGUGAUGAUGGCAGUUAGCAUUACCUCACCUGAACUUGCGAUGAUGAUCCCCGUUUUGUAGAUGUGAAAUCUGCUGCCUUGUCAAGAUCAGGGAGUGAGUCAGCUGCAGAGGCAGCCUGAGGGUCUGAAACCCAUGUGGCCACAGGCCCUCACCAUUCACAAAGCUUGGAGAUCACAAUAUAGCAUUCUGGUCUUCUAGAAACAUCCCAGCGUGUUGCAGGUGGAAUGUGGGC